CCUGCUCAGAACGAACGCUGGCGGCAGGCUUAACACAUGCAAGUCGAACGCCCCGCAAGGGGAGUGGCAGACGGGUGAGUAACGCGUGGGAAUCUACCGUACCCUACGGAAUAACGCAUGGAAACGUGUGCUAAUACCGUAUACGCCCUACGGGGGAAAGAUUUAUCGGGGUAUGAUGAGCCCGCGUUGGAUUAGCUAGUUGGUGGGGUAAAGGCCUACCAAGGCGACGAUCCAUAGCUGGUCUGAGAGGAUGAUCAGCCACAUUGGGACUGAGACACGGCCCAAACUCCUACGGGAGGCAGCAGUGGGGAAUAUUGGACAAUGGGCGCAAGCCUGAUCCAGCCAUGCCGCGUGAGUGAUGAAGGUCUUAGGAUUGUAAAGCUCUUUCACCGGAGAAGAUAAUGACGGUAUCCGGAGAAGAAGCCCCCGGCUAACU
rnacentral:rRNA from 1 species